UAAACAAAUAAAUUUAAUUUUAGCCUAUUUUUACACACACAACCAAGAAUGCACAUUAUUUAAAAUCCCAUAUGUCGGCUCAGGCAAUAAUAUAGCCAUAUUAUCAGCAAUGCUUAUUUGUUCAGUAUUAAUAUUUGUUUUUUUUUCUUAUCAUUCUUAAAACAUUCAUACAAAUGAUAAAUAAUAAUGAUAGACCAAAAACUGUUCCCUGCAGAGCUGUAGUUGUGAUUUUCUCCACAAGACAUGUGGAUCUACUAUGAAACCUAUUCUAAAUUUAUUACAACAAUUAUUAAUUUUUAUUGUUUGAGCUCUAUCACUUAGGAAAUAUUUUAAUAGUUUAUUAACUAUGCCACGAAUACUUUAAUAUUCUAACUUUUUUAGAAAUAACUCACGAUUAGUACAAUCAAAGGCUUAUUGAACAU